CUCGUAGGCGGCCAACUAAGUCAGACGUGAAGUCCCUCAGCUUAACUGGGGAACUGCGUCUGAUACUGGAUGGCUUGGAUUCGGGAGAGGAAUGCGGAAUUCCAGGUGUAGCGGUGAAAUGCGUAGAUAUCUGGAGGAACACCGGUGACGAAGGCGGCAUUCUGGACCGACAUUGACGCUGAGGAGCGAAAGCCAGGGGAGCAAACG
rnacentral:rRNA from 1 species